GGACCGUGCAUGAGCUCCCGUCUCAGAGGGUUAAGAACACUUCCUGCCAUGCACCUGGCUCGUCGUAGCAUGCCUCCCGUGUGGCUUGUAGUGCUCCAUGCACGCCUUCACCUUGUGCCCAGGGCUCCAGGCCUUUCCCAUCUAUAUGGUGACAGGCAAGCCCUGGGCAGACGGCUAAAAGGAACCAAAAGGGGUGCUGCGGGAUAAGGAAGGGCACAACCCCCCGGAAUCCUUCACUCGUGGCACUGGAUACUCUGACCUUGCGGGAUGGACGUUUGCUGAACAAGACUUGCUUUGCUUUGCCUUCAGGAACUCAAUGGCUGGGCGAGAAUUACACCUGAUAAGUUAUGAGCUGUCAAUCAGGAAGCAUCUCAUUGCACAAGCAGUGUAUGAUGUCCUUGGGAGAAUGGGAUCGACGAACUGACGAGACAGGUAAUGGUACUGCUCCCUUCCAGCCCUUUACAGGGACAGCUCUGUGCUCUGGCCGCCUGCCCCACACCUGGCUCUCAGGCUCAGCCUCCCCUGUGUCUUGGAGCUACUUUGCUCCCCACACUGAGAGCUGAUGCUGUGCUGGCUGCACGGUAAAGCUGGGAUCAGGGUGCUCUGUCCAGAGCCAUGAAUUCCCCCUGGCUGGGCCCCAGCCAGAAGCCUACUGGGCUUGGCUUGGAGGCUGGAUGCGGCCCCUGCCAAGAGACUUGUGCUUCAGACUUCUUAGCUGGAAGGGCCAUUCUCCAGACCAGCUGCAACUGGAGCUCUGCAGAGCCUGGCUGGCUCAGGGCACGAUCUGACUGCCUGUCAAGGCUGUUCUACAGCAGACACAGGGCUGGCAAACUGGGAUCAGGCAGAGCCCAAAGUCCAUCUUUCUGUGGUUCUCUUGUGAGCUGCAAGUUCUUGGGUAGGACUCCCUGCUCACACCCAUCUCCUGUCUUUGUGCUCACUGCUGUCUCUCCAUUCCCUGUUUGUUGCCAGGAAAUUUUUCUGUUGACACGGAUUGAAAUUGACAGCAUCGUGCAAGACAGCUACUUGAUGCCCAACUGGGCUCUGAAAUCCCUGGGUUGCCACUGAUUAUGCGGAGAGGACAAACCAAGAGUUAACGGUGGGAAAGGCCGGCUUUCCCCUUCUUUUCCACGCAAAGUCCCCUGAGACCCUCUUGCAGGUAUGGCAGGAGAAGUGCUGAACCUGUGGGACCCCUUGCCUUUCACCCCCUCCCCCCGCAGACACCCCACAGCAAGCUCCAUAAGUGGCUCCCCCUCCAUACCCCCCUCAGCCCUUCCUUCCCCCGAUUUCUGUCCCCCUCCAUUCCUUUCCCCCUCCCCAUCCUUUCCCCCUCCCCAACCUUCCUUCCAUCCUUCUCCCCCCCAUCCUUCCCCUCCCUUUCUUCCACCAUCCUUCCCCCCCAUCCUCCCAUUUCCUCCCUCCAUCCUACCCCCCAUCCUUCUCCCAGUCUUUCCUACCCCCAACCCUUCCCCCCAUUCUCCCUCCCCCCAUCCUCACCCCAUUCUGGCUGCACAUCCACUUUUCCUUUUGGCCCAGGCUGCUUGCUCAGCCCACACUCUUCCCCACAUCACUGACAACCUAGCUGUUGGAGGGUGCUUGGGCUGACAGAUGCUGGGGAGGGCUGCCCCGCCGGCUCUGGGCAAGCAGAGAAAGGCGGUUGACUCCAGAGCUGUUGUCCAAACCUUUGCAUAUUCCCCUCCUGUCCCUUGAGUAGCGUUCCAUUACGGGGAGCACGGCAGCCCACACAGAAACAAAUUCUGUGCUCCUUGCCCAGCAUCCAGCUCUGGCGACUCUUUGCCUCACCGCUGAUGGACGCAUCUCUCUCAUUUCAGCCUGAUAUUUCUGUUGGAAACUGCUGGGCAUUCCAAAGUUCGCAGGGCCAUGUUGUCAUCCAGCUGCCGGAGAACAUCUGGCCCACAGCUUUCACCCUGUGGCACGUCUCCAAGGUGGUGUCUCCCUUCUGGGGAUGUCAACAGUGCCCCCAGAGACUUUGCUCAUCUUGGUAAGUCUCUGCCUGUGUGCUUCUGGAAGGCCCCGAGGAAAAAAGCUUGCCUAAGAGCCCCCAUAA
ensembl:lncRNA